ensembl:ncRNA F59F3.9 ncRNA
UAAUGAAAUGAGAAAUGAAACAAGAAAAAUAUGACCAAAAGUGAUACUUAAAAUGAGUGGAUAUAAUA